GGUUAAGCGACUAAGCGUACACGGUGGAUGCCCUGGCAGUCAGAGGCGAUGAAGGACGUGCUAAUCUGCGAUAAGCGUCGGUAAGGUGAUAUGAACCGUUAUAACCGGCGAUUUCCGAAUGGGGAAACCCAGUGUGUUUCGACACACUAUCAUUAACUGAAUCCAUAGGUUAAUGAGGCGAACCGGGGGAACUGAAACAUCUAAGUACCCCGAGGAAAAGAAAUCAACCGAGAUUCCCCCAGUAGCGGCGAGCGAACGGGGAGCAGCCCAGAGCCUGAAUCAGUGUGUGUGUUAGUGGAAGCGUCUGGAAAGGCGCGCGAUACAGGGUGACAGCCCCGUACACAAAAAUGCACAUGCUGUGAGCUCGAUGAGUAGGGCGGGACACGUGGUAUCCUGUCUGAAUAUGGGGGGACCAUCCUCCAAGGCUAAAUACUCCUGACUGACCGAUAGUGAACCAGUACCGUGAGGGAAAGGCGAAAAGAACCCCGGCGAGGGGAGUGAAAAAGAACCUGAAACCGUGUACGUACAAGCAGUGGGAGCCUCUUUUAUGGGGUGACUGCGUACCUUUUGUAUAAUGGGUCAGCGACUUAUAUUCUGUAGCAAGGUUAACCGAAUAGGGGAGCCGAAGGGAAACCGAGUCUUAACUGGGCGUUAAGUUGCAGG
rnacentral:rRNA from 1 species